rnacentral:rRNA from 1 species
UGCCAGCCGCCGCGGUAACACGUAAGGAGCGAGCGUUGUUCGGAAUUAUUGGGCGUAAAGGGCAUGUAGGCGGUUUUGUAAGUCUGAUGUGAAAUCGUGCAGCUUAACUGCAUUGUUGCGUUGGAAACUGCAGAACUUGAAUCCGAGAGGGGUGUGUGGAAUUCCUAGUGUAGGGGUGAAAUCUGUUGAUAUUAGGAAGAACACCAGAGGCGAAGGCGACACACUGGCUCUGGAUUGACGCUGAGGUGCGAAAGCGUAGGUAGCGAACAGGAUUAGAUA